GAUGAACGCUAGCGGCAGGCUUAAUACAUGCAAGUCGAGGGACAGCACAGGUAGCAAUACUGGGUGGUAACCGGCAAACGGGUGCGGAACACGUACACAACCUUCCUUUAAGUGGGGGAUAGCCCAGAGAAAUUUGGAUUAAUACCCCGUAAUAUAGUUGAAUGGCAUCAUUUGAUUAUUAUAGCUACGGCGCUUAAUGAUGGGUGUGUGGCUGAUUAGCUAGUUGGCGGGGUAACGGCCCACCAAGUCUACGAUCAGUAGCUGAUGUGAGAGCAUGAUCAUCCACACGGGCAAUGAGACACGGGCCCGACUCCAUCGGGAGGCAGCAGUAAGGAAUAUUGGUCAAUGGACGCAAGUAUGAACCAGCCAUGCCGCGUGAAGGAUUAAGGUCCUCUGGAUUGUAAACUUCUUUUAUUUGGGACGAAAAAGGGCCUUUCUAGGUCAACUGACGGUACCAGAUGAAUAAGCACCGGCUAACUCCGUGCCAGCCGCCGCGGUAAAAC
rnacentral:rRNA from 1 species